AGCAAUGGCACCUCAGCACGAAAAUGCAGAUUCAUAACCAGACAUCAGCAGUUCUACGGAUGUUCUCUUUUUCGGCAACGGAGGCAUUGGAGGUGUUGUUGUGCCUGUGCUGAAUUUUGUGGAGAUGCAUUGCAAGGAUGACUUUGGCACUUUAAUUACACAGCUACUACUAGAGUUUGAUCGCCUUUUCAAAGGGAACCUGAUUACUAGCCGUGGAGAGAGGCUGCAAGCAGCUUGGAUGCACUACUUCAAACUUUGGAGAUGAAGAGGAGGCAGCGUUUACAGAAGUGGGAUCCGAAAUUGGCAUCUGACCUUACCGCACACCACGACUUCUGAGUUCA
rnacentral:lncRNA from 1 species